CAGCAGCCACGGUAAUACGAAGGGGGCUAGCGUUGCUCGGAAUCACUGGGCGUAAAGGGUGCGUAGGCGGGUCUUUAAGUCAGGGGUGAAAUCCCAGAGCUCAACUCUGGAACUGCCUUUGAUACUGGGUAUCUUGAGUAUGGAAGAGGUGAGUGGAAUUCCGAGUGUAGAGGUGAAAUUCGUAGAUAUUCGGAGGAACACCAGUGGCGAAGGCGGCUCACUGGUCCAUUACUGACGCUGAGGUGCGAAAGCGUGGGGAGCAAACAGGAUUAGAUACCCCUGUAGUCCCUGUCUCUUAUAC
rnacentral:rRNA from 1 species